CAUACAUUUCGUAAAAGGGAAAAUCCGGUGAGGUUGAGCUAUUUUAGAGUUUCCGCUACAUUUUGUUAAAGGACAAAUCCAAUGAGCUGGAGCUAUUACCGUUCCCGCUACAUUUUGUAAAAGGGAAAAUCCGGUGAAGUCGAUCUAUUUUAGCGUUCCCGCUACAUUUUGUAAAAGAACAAAUCCGGUAAGGUCGGGCUAUUUUAGCAUUCCCGUUACACUUU